rnacentral:sRNA from 2 species
ACAGCCAAUCAAUGGGAUAGCUGCGCUUCCUGGCCAUAGUCUGGCCCAGCGCCGUGGUUGACACAGUUGCAUUAUUCUCCAUAUAAAGCCCGCUCUCCAAACUUAUCCCGCAAGUGUCUAUAAUGUCGUCGCAGCCGCCAGGAAUUUCCUCCCUUUGCCGAAAAUAUAUCCUUCCUCUGUUCCUGGUGAACAAUGUGCUUGGAAACAGCGGCGGGUUAGCGGCGGCGGAAUCAAGCUCAGGCUAUGCGCAUGGUCAGAGUGUGCCAAUUAGUUGUUUGAACAGGGACAUAGAAACAGGAGAACAUACCACAGACUCAACCGGAAAACUCCAAUACAUCCCCUUCCCAACCUGCAACGAGACAUCCGCCCCGCUCUCUUUCCGCUACGGCAUCUCCGAAACGAUAACUUGCACCAUUCUCUCUCUCCCCGACCCUCUCUAUCAUCUGCUUGAAUACUACGUCCACGCCGACGUUCCAUUAACAUGUCGCGUACCUACUUUCCCGCUCGUUGCCUCCUCUGCACCCGGAGGCACCACCAAAUCUCCAGACCGCAAGCCGCGCAACGACAAAACUGGAAGUGAAGGCGGCAACGGUAGCGAGGAGGAAAUUUCCAGGAAUAAUGGCCUGUUGUCAUCCGCUUCGCAGCCGCCCUUUACGCCCCUGACGAUUGCGCUGCAGGGGACCCUGCAACUAUCCCACCUACACAUCUGGACGGACAUGAAUGUGCUCAUGCACCAGUCUGCGCGGUUAUCUACCGCGGGCUCUGGCUCUAGUUCAAAGAAGUCGGAGAAGUCAAAGAAGGGCAAAACGAAGGGGGAGGGGAAGAAAGGAGAUCGUGAGCAUAAUAAGGGGAUGGAUGCAAUCUUGAUGUUCCCGCGGGGACAGAUUGUGGCCGGAUCAGCAUACUCAAUGCCGAUGGCUGUGGACGCUACCACUGCGGAUGACUACGAUGUGGAGGAUUGGGAUGCAUAUGUCAAGCAGCGGAGGAAGGAGAGAGACAUGUUGAUGGAACCCUGGGCGGCAGAGGGGGGAACGAAGGUCAUUCGUGGCGAGCCGCUUGUGUUCACGUUCCGUGUUGGAUGGGUUUCUAGCGGUGAUGUACUCGGGCUGGUCCAUGCGGAAGAGUCGCUGUCGAAGUCGACGGCGCUGGUGGCUGCUGGUGGUGGGUUGUUUAUGCGGUUGGUGUCUAUUUGCUUUUGGGUUGGAGUUGGACUCGGUUUGGCUGUAGUUGUGGAGAGGGUGAGACAUAGAAGGGGUAUAGUGAGUGUGUAUAAGGGGGACGGGAUUUUGGGUCAUACGCCCUUUUUUGGUCGGUUUAGUCCAGAUGUCGGAGGG